rnacentral:rRNA from 1 species
CACGUAGUUAGCCGGCGCUUCUUAUGCAGGUACCCUCAACCAGGCCAAAACCUGGACUUGUUCCCUGCCGAAAGAGGUUUACAACCCGAAAGCCGUCAUCCCUCACGCGGCGUCGCUGCAUCAAGCUUUCGCUCAUUGUGCAAUAUUCCCCACUGCUGCCUCCCGUAGGAGUCUGGGCCGUAUCUCAGUCCCAGUGUGGCCGGUCACCCUCUCAGGCCGGCUACCCGUCGACGCCUUGGUAGGCCAUCACCCCACCAACAAGCUGAUAGGCCGCGAGCCCAUCCCCUCCCAAUAAAUCUUUCCAACAACCACCAUGCGGCAGCCGCUGAAUAUCCGGUAUUAGACCCAGUUUCCCAAGCUUAUCCCGAAGAAAGGGGCAGGUUACUCACGUGUUACUCACCCGUUCGCCACUAACUCCACCCCCAGCAAGCUGGAGACUUCAUCGUUCGACUUGCAUGUGUUAAGCACGCCGCCAGCGUUCGUCCUGAGCCAGGAGUCAAACUACU